rnacentral:siRNA from 1 species
AUAAAACGAUAUUUGGUCGGCUUU